GGGCGUUUAGCUCAGUUGGUUAGAGCGCGUGCCUCACAUGCACGAGGUCAUAGGUUCGAGUCCUAUAACGCCCACCA
rnacentral:tRNA from 2 species